UAUCAAGAGCUCCAGUUGGGUCAUCAUAUUUGCCAUGCUCUCAUCUCUUUCUUUAUCUCACUUUCAUUGUUCUUUGUCAACCAUGAAUGUAUAGGGAGAGCUUUUGGGAACUUCGAUAUCUCGGGUAUGCUAACCCCAAUUUUGCUUUAUCACCUCUCCCAAUAUUUAAUUGUCAUAUGGUAGUGCAUCUUUACCAGGGAACCUCCCACCGCGUUGUCCACCAUGGUUUUGUUAAGCGGGUCAAAGGAUCGGUAGAAGAUUCACCAAUUUUCCAUUGAAUCUUUCCCAUGCUUUAAACAAUGGUUCCCCAUUCAAUUGCCUAAAAUUUAUGAUCUCAUCCCACAUUAGGAGUAUUUUGUAAGGUGGGAAGUAUUGAUUAAGAGAAACUGGGGUAAGUUCUUCCCAAAGUAGUGAUUGAAC
rnacentral:lncRNA from 1 species